rnacentral:rRNA from 1 species
AUACGUAGGUGACAAGCGUUAUCCGGAUUUACUGGGCGUAAAGGGCGUGUAGGCGGUCUUGCAAGUCAGAAGUGAAAUUCCUGAGCUCAACUCGGGCGCUGCUUCUGAAACUGCAGGACUUGAGUGCUGGAGGGGAUAGCGGAAUUCCUAGUGGAGCGGUAAAAUGCGCAGAUAUUAGGAAGAACACCGGUGGCGAAGGCGGCUAGCUGGACAGUAACUGACGCUGAGGCGCGAAAGCGUGGGGAGCAAACAGGAUUAGAUACCCUGGUAGUCCACACUGUAAACGAUGAAUGCUAGGUGUAAGAGGUAUCGACCCCUUUUGUGCCGGAGUCAACACAAUAAGCAUUCCGCCUGGGGAGUACGGCCGCAAGGUUGAAACUCAAAUGAAUUGACGGGG